AUUCAAUGACUCAGAUUAACUAGACACUUGGCCAGUGUCGAGCCCCAGGCUGAAGGUUGGAGAGAGGCUAGUCCCCAGACAAAUGAUGCAUGGAAUUUGUAUCUGUGGGUUGCCAUGCCAACGCCGAGCACGAAUUGCUCAAGAUUCAGCAGGACUUGGCAGGGACCUUUUUGCUUCCCAGAGACCCACUGACAGUUUCAACAUGGGAGAGUAUGGUGUCAAGAUAACAGUCAUAUCAUCAGUCAUUGCAGAACAUCUACGUGGGCUGCCAAGAAAAUGAGACUCUUUUAUCUCUGGCUCCUCUAAGUGCUUGUGUUUCAGUGAUUGUUUCUCAUAACGUGCCUGAUUGUUUUCUGAAACCUGACCGUCAGCAGCUCCAUUAUGUUGUCACCUCAACCCAAGCGAGUUGCAGGCUGUCAAGGAAGCGGGGCUGCCCGGAGGAGCCGGGGUAAGGCUGCGGGGGGAGUGUCUUCCAGAGGCGCUGGGAAAACGGUGCUUAGAAAGUAGCAAAAGAGAGAGGCUGGAAGUUGAACCACAGGCAAACAUUGAAGAAUCCGUCAGAGGUGCAUUGCACCACGCUGUUUUUCUGUGACCUUUCAAAUCAAAAGGUUUUUGGUAUUAGUCAGAUAGGAUGUGAAAUUUUCCAUUGCAUUAUGUAUUCCUUGCACUUUAAGACAUUCUACAUUUGUAAGAAGCAGGAUGAAUAUUACUUCAAAUAGCAAGUAGGCAGCUAACGACUAAAUCUCAAGGCAUGUUUUGAUGGAACAUAGCCAUGACUUGAACUAUAAACAACAGAAAAUAAGAACACAAUCCUAUUAUUUUAAUGACAUAACUCACCAUUUUAUUGGAGACAAUUUACAGGAGCUUUGAAGUACAUUUAUCUCAUCCAAACAGAACUGACUUAUAGCUAAAUAUAGAGGAUGCAGGGUGUACUUCUGAUUUUAAAGAAAGGUGUUUUGAGUUCUGCAUGUGGCUGCAAAAAAAAUCCCCUGAAAACAGAGAGAUGUCAGUAGUUUCAACACCUGAUGAACACACGUUUGUUUAAGACAGUUAGCCUGCCCAGGUCUCUGUGUCUCCCACACAACAAAGAGAACUGAUGACUGAAAAUAGGACUUCAGUGCUUCUGGAAAUGUCACCC
ensembl:lncRNA